rnacentral:misc_RNA from 1 species
UGCCCUCAUCAGAUUCUUUCUUGAUUGCACUAUGCUCAAUGAUGAUGGUCCUUUAUCCUGACCUGUCCUGUGCAACCAACCUGCAGUGUCAACCAGAUAUAUGGUUCUCCCUUGAAAAUGGAAAUGAGCUCUAAUAGAAUCUCUGGUCAAACCAACCUCUGGACCCACCAGCACACGUUCUUCUUGUAACAAAGUAUUCAGCAAGGUUGACUUUCCAACAUUGGGCCGCCCUACAAUAGCUAACUGCAGUGGCAACUUAGACAACUCCUCAACCUCACCAUGGUUGUCAUCAUGGCUAUCACAAUUGCUAUUUGGUUGAUUACAAUUACUGUUCAGGACUUUGAGCAUAUAAUCCUCAAGCAAAGGCCGAAGAGAAUCAUAAAGUGCUGUCAUACCCAGCCCUGUCUCAGCAGAUAUGGCAAUAGGAU